ACGCACGCUGGCGGCGUGCUUCACCCCUGCAAGUCGCACGGAAAGGCCUCUUUCGGGGGGUACUCGAGUGGCGAACGGGUGAGUAACACGUGAGUAACCUGCCCUUGACUUUGGGAUAACUUCAGGAAACUGGGGCUAAUACCGGAUAGGAGCUCCUGCUGCAUGGUGGGGGUUGGAAAGUUUCGGCGGUUGGGGAUGGACUCGCGGCUUAUCAGCUUGUUGGUGGGGUAGUGGCUUACCAAGGCUUUGACGGGUAGCCGGCCUGAGAGGGUGACCGGCCACAUUGGGACUGAGAUACGGCCCAGACUCCUACGGGAGGCAGCAGUGGGGAAUAUUGCACAAUGGGUGGAAGCCUGAUGCAGCAACGCCGUGUGCGGGAUGACGGCCUUCGGGUUGUAAACCGCUUUCGCUCAUGACGAAGCUUUGUGUGACGGUAGUGGGUAAAGAAGCACCGGCUAACUACGUG
rnacentral:rRNA from 1 species